rnacentral:sRNA from 1 species
CAACAACCGAAAGGAGGUGAUCCAGUGUCUCAUUGCCAUAUGCCGCGUGCCCUGCCUGCGGCCUGGAUCAUCGUCACCGCCACUGCGGAGAUGGCUUCCUGAGCCCUGCCUAGGCCGGCAACGGCUGCAGCAAUGGAAAGGCCCGGGUGGGAUACCACCCGGGCCU